rnacentral:lncRNA from 1 species
GGCUAAAUACCAUAAACAUGAGCAAUAAAAAAAAUAAAAAAAAAUAUAUAUAUAUAUAUAUAUUUUUUGACUAACAAUUGAUUUAAUCUAAUUAUUUAAUAUUUUAAUUAAGUAAUGCAUUUAACCCAAAAAAAAAGGAAGAUAAAUCGAAAAUUAGUGCACAUAUACACAUGGGCCACAAUUUAUUGAAAUUAAUUCGGGCCCAAUUCGAAAAUCAUUAAAUCCAAAUUAGCUUCUACAUAAUAAUCACUAAGUAUUUGAAGCAUGCUGAGUAAAAUAGCCUUCUUUUGGAUUUCAAUCAGUAAGCUUAAUAGAGGACAACCUAUUCCAAGAAACGACUUCCUCUCUUUCCCAUUUAUCUCUUUCGAUGCCACCAAGAAUGUUCGACAUUUAGAAUUUGCAGAAAAAACUUUUAAAAUUUCACAACAAUCCAAAUUACGGACUCGAAUCCGCCGAAACUGGGGACGGUAUAUACAAAUAUAUAAUUCAAUUUCUAAAUCCACAGCAGAUGCAGCAAUAACAACCUAUAAACAGAAUGAAACUUAACUUUCGAACCCGUAUGCAGUCUAAAUUCCCAAUCGACAUGUAUUCAACAACAACAACAAAAAUCUAAUCAAACACACAAUAACUCACAAAAUAACUCAAGACGAGCUGUCUACACAAACACAAUGCCGAAAAUAACCACAAAGUUCAUGCCAAAGAAGAAUUAUUCCUGAUAUUACCGCGAAGCAGCGUUGUUCGUUGACUCGGCGGUAUUGUGUUGAUCUAGAACGGUGGCGCUCGGUUGAACUGAGGUUGUCGAAACUUGGAUCGUUUUUCGAGAGUGGAAUCGCCGGAACGAUUCAACCGGAGAUCUCGUCACGGUGGUGCUGGAGAUGAGUGAUGGAGGGUUUAUGGAGUUUGUCGACGAUGGGGUAGUGAUUUUCGGAUGAUGGUGUGUGUGAGUUGUUGAAGGAGAGCGAUGGCGAGUGGCGGCGGUGGUUGUCUUUGAUGUAUCGGUGGUGACGCGAGGGUUUCGUGGUGGUUUGGAGAGAAGAAAAAUGUCGGCGUUUGGUGGAGAGUGAGGGACGAUUUUGAGGGUAGUGAUGAGGGUUUGACGGUGAUGAAGAAAAGGUGGGUUUGGGUGAUGGAGUGAGGCGAGCGGAGAUUGAAGGUGGAUGGCGAAAGGGAUUUUGACAGUGGAUUUGGGUGAUGGAGUGAGGCGAGCGGCGAUUGAAGGUGAUGAAGAUGGAUGUUGAGCGAUUGAGGGUUUUAGGGAGUGAAGGGAUUUUUUUCUUUUUUCUGAGUGAGAGAGAAGAGAGGUUGAGUGAUAAGGAUUUGUGUGAGUGAAUUCGUUAUCAAGUAGGCAGAGUGGGGGGCACGUGGCGAAUGAAGAUGGAAUGAGGUGUUAGAUUUUGUGGAUUGGGUGAGUGAAUACGUGAG